rnacentral:lncRNA from 1 species
AGGUGUUAUCACCUCCUGAAUUCUUGACUUUGCGGAAUAAGGUUCAGCAGCUGGAGGAAUGGUUGAGGGACUCUGGCUCUCAUCCGCAGUGGUCACUGCUAUCAAGAGGGGCAACUGAAGAAGAGCAGAGUACGGCGCAGUCUGAGAUAAACACAUUUGGGAAUAUUAUCAGUGAUCUUAAACUUGCCAUUUCCAAUGCAGAAAGUAGAACACAAAAGGCUGAAACAAGGUGUACACAGCUCAAUCAAACUAAUGUUCAGCUUACUGGGGAGCUGAACUCUCUUAAAGUUCAGGGGUCAGAUAGGGCUGGCUUAUUGGAGACAAAACUGAAGGAAUCAGACACUCAAUUGGAGCAUGCAAGAGCAUCAGUUGAUGCUAUUGUUGAACAACAGGGAAUGCUAAGAUCUUCAAUGUCUGAUAUGGAACAGAUGAUUGAAGAUCUGAAGGAAAAGUAUUUGAAAGCUGAAACCAGGGCUGAGAAUGCUGAGUCCAAAUGUUCAUUGUUGACAGACACUAAUUUAGAGCUUAGUGAAGAGCUGUCGUUUCUGAGAGGUCGAGUAGAAAGUCUAGAAAACUCAUUGCAUCAAGCCAACCAACUGAAGGUGUCCACUGCAAAAGACAUUGGUAGUAAAACUAAAAUUAUCACUGACUUGGUUGCAAAACUUGCCUUGGAAAGAGAACGGCUUCAUGUACAGGUACUUGCGUUCUUAUUCAGGAUAGUUUAUUAUGUCACUUCUUUUCUGCUGUGUAUUGGUGUAUGUAGAUGUUAUAGAAAGCAGCUUUACGGAUAUUUUGGGUUGUUGCUUUGAAUCUUUGACUUUGUGUACUGAAUGAGUUACACUACACACUACUCAGUCUCUCCAGGUUGCUUGUGUGAAAAACACAAACAUGGAAAGGAUAGAAGUUGAAUGAUGCUAUAAUGUUCCUAAUGCGUUUGGUAUGAAAUCAUUAUAGGUCAGACUGAACCAAACGGUUGGCAUAUAACAAUUGUUUUCACUUUAUUUCAUCUAAUGCAGAAGAAAAAUAAUUAUUUGCCAUCUUAUGAAUUGAAUUAUGGUUGAUAUGUAGCCGUGCAAUCAUAUCCUAUUGUUCUCCAGCAUCUGUUUCACUUUGACGCCCAUUUCCUUCUCUUUUGCUCUGAAAUUUUUCCUGCUGAUUUCCUAACCUUUUGGCAUAAGAUAUUGCAAUGGACCUUUAAAUUUUGUUGGGUAUUGAAUUGCAUCCUCUAUUGUUUAUGCUGUGGCGAUAUCUAGCAUGAGAAUCGGUGUAAAUAUCUUAGGCAGUUUUUUAACCCCUCCCUGAUUUCUGUGCGGUACAGAUUGUUACACUGACAAAAAAGAACAGUAUGUUAGCUCAAAAAUGCAAAGAAAAUGUUGACAAAGCUUCGUUGAGCAAAGAAGCUACUGAUGUUGCCAAAGGUGAAAUCAGGCCCAGUAAAGCUACGGAGGAAGCGGCUCUAACUUCUUCACCAACACAAACCAAGGUUGGUUCCACUUGAACUCGAAGUGUAUUAUUUUUGUUACGGAACAUGUCGAAGCUGCAAAUGUCUUGUGUUUUCGCACUGCUAUUGGGAAAUAAACAUUUAUUUGGUGCAUCUGAAUUUGGCAAAUAAUAAUAAUAACAAUAAUUUAUCUCCUUGUUGGUGUAUCACCUACCCUAACUGCCUUGUCUGUCUAUGUAUUGAAUUAAUUAAAGGUGAUACCAACUGGUAACUCUCCCCAAGAAGAGGUUGAAAUCGAUGAGGUGACUCCACUGGAAGGUGAAUCUCGUGCCGAGAGCACACUCGAGACAGUGCGGUGUAUUGAGCCGAAGCUGCUAAACUGGAAGUACAUUUUGGCUGCAGUGCUGGCCUUGGUUGCUGUCAUCCUCGUGUACCAGCUGUACCAAUCUGACGAUGGAGUUGAACAAUUGUUCAGGCGAUUUGUAGGGUAGGAGUAUAUAUUACUAGUUAGAUAGAAUAAGGGGGUGUUUGGAUAGCAGGUGCUAAAUUUUAGCACCUGUCACAUCGGAUGUUUGGACACUAAUUAGGAGUAUUAAACAUAAUUAAGAAGGUAAUAGAGAGCUAAUUGGGUAUGNNNNNNNNNNNNNNNNNNNNNNNNNNNNNNNNNNNNNNNNNNNNNNNNNNNNNNNNNNNNNNNNNNNNNNNNNNNNNNNNNNNNNNNNNNNNNNNNNNNNGCAAUUAGUUUUGUAAUUAGACUAUGUUUAAUACUCCUAAUUAGUGUCAAACAUCCGAUGUGACAUGUGCUAAAAUUUAGCACAUGCCUCCCAAACACCCCAUAAGACAUGAGGUUGAGGUAUCUUGUAAUAAUAAUAUAUUGAUCGUUUCUCGAUUGUUGGGGAGGCAAUUUUGGUAGUGCUGUAACUGUUGCGACUUGCAAAGUGUUGAAGCUUUAAUAGAUGAUGACCUCUGUAGCAUUAUAUAGCUCUCCUUUUAUACCACGGCUACGGAUUACUUCAUAUCAGGCAUGUCUCUCAAAGUUGCCCAACCCUAGCUGACGCUGGCACAUCCAGAUCCAGCCAGGGAAUCUCAUUGUUUUGGGAAUCGCCAGAUCCUAUUUAUUGGGAUUGGGUUGUAUGCACGUCAGGAUUUGGAAAGAUACGGCCGGUUAACAGGGGCGGCGACGAUCUCACAAGAAGCUCGGAUGAGGAGCAGCAGAUUGGUUAUCAUCUCACAAGCUCCAACAAGAUGCAAAAGACCUGCGAGGAAGAGACUGACGGCUGCUUCAGGUAUUGAGGACUGCUUCGAUGAUCAGGAUCCCUGUGUCGUUCAUUCAUUCAUUCAUUACUUGUUUUGCCUAUUCAUUCAUUCAUUUACGACCGCUGUGGUAGUUCUGUGUUCUUCAAUCGCAUAAUUCUUGCUUUUGCUUUAUUGUCAUCUUAGAUUCAAGUGUGCGAUGCAUCCAAUACUGUUGCCACAGGGUUCUUGGAACAAGAUUAUGUAAGUCGUGGAAUGACUCUUGUCAAUGUCAAACAAUCCCUUGAUGUUCGUGUGAUUCAUCUUCAUGAUGAGGUGGAAAUUCUACCUGGCAGUAACCUAGUAGGCAUAGAGCUUACUGGAGUCUGGCAAACAAUUGCCCGCAAGAGGAAUCAUGACUAAAGAUUCAUUCACUUCUGAAGAUGGCAUAGACCUUUCGUGCUCCAAUUGUGUUGUGUCUAAGGUAUGCUGUUGGUGUCUGUCUUAGUUCUCUAUGUGGUUGUGCUGUAAAUAAUUAGCUGCAUCAUGAUAUAAGUGGUUCUUUUUGUGCUAGGCUGGUGAUGGUGGCCCACUUUUUGAUGGUGAUGGGAAGUUUGUUGGAAUGAACCUUGUUUUGGGUAAUACAAGAGGCCCGUUCAUGCAAGGGAGCAUCGUUAUUGAAAAAUUGGAGCAGUUUGAGAAUACUAUCCAAUUGCUUGCAAGCAGGAUAUCUCGGUAUGUCUUGUGUAUUUCCAGAAUAUAUCAGCCGUGGCUUAUUCAAUGUGUUCACUGUUUCUGUGUGGUGGUAGCUGUUAGCCAUGGGAGGAGGAUGCCCAAUUUAUUGUUGUUUUUUUAUUUUUGCAUUUGUUAUUUCUUUGAAAGUUUUGAAUGUUUAUCACUCAUUGACUACUUGAUUUCCUUUUUCGGUUUAACGUUGAAGCCAGCAUUCUUGUCUAAUUGAAAGAAACUAAAAUUUCAUUCAGGCUAAAAUAUAGAAAAUGGAACUCGAAUCUGUAACAUCUCACAUAGCAUGCAUCUAUGAUCUAGUCAUAUUUCCUGUCUUCUAUGCAAUUAUUUUCAUAACAGUGUUUCAGAGAUUCAUGUUUUGGCCAUGUUAUUUGUAUUCUUUUGUGGAUUAUAAUGAUUUCACUAUGUUCUGCUGCAGGGUUAGAAGAAUUAGUGCACCUAGGUUUAAACUUCUACAUGGUGAGCACAUAACAUUUUCUUAUCAUUAUACUCUUUGAGACCACCAAGUAUAUAACCUUUCAAAGGAAUAAUAUUUGUAGUCCGUCACAAGUAGUACAAGUUUAGUUUAUUCUUCUUAUCAUUGUAUUCUCAUGACAAGGAUACUACUGCAGGGUCAAGUGCUAAUCCGUUAACCUUAAUAUAUUAUUUCAUGAUGCGUUCAACCAAAGUGACCCAUCCUUGCAUGCAGAGGUUUAGAUGAGUCGAAUUUAUCAUGACUAUUAUAUCAAUGAUAGCAUAUGACCUGUGCUUGUUGAACUAGGGAAUCAACAUUCUAAACAGGAAGAUUAUCUAGACUCCUUGGGCUACCCGAAGCGAUCAAUAUCUGCGGUUGAUUGUAAGUCAAAUAUUUUGAUUUUAUUGACUUCCUGAAUGUAGCACUUUUGUUAAAGGUCAGGCACUAACUACUUUUGAACAUGUAUCUUCAACCAGGUGGCAUGGUUUUGGUUAAUUCUUUUGAAGAGACUUUUGGUGACACAUAUGAUUCUAGUAAAGGUGUCUGGGGUGCACUCUGUGAAACAAUCUCGAAAGAUUUAUCUCAAAGUGUUGUCUCCCUUGCUUCAUACAAUGGUGAGUUAACAGUAGCAUGCUCUUCGCUUUCCCGUAUUUGUAUGCGGCCAUGAUUAAUUAAUAAUCAAAAUUUAUGCAGGAGAAACAAGGUUUUUUGCUUGUUCAGGCAUAAUUACAAAAUGGAAUGGAUGCACCACUAUUCUGACUUCAGCGAGCUUGGUUAGAAAUCGUCGUGAUGAAAGCAAGAUCCAUGAAAACCUCAGGGUUGGUGCUCUUAUUCGUGUGUACUAGUUGUCCCUUUAAGAUAUUGCUUAACUCUCACUGUCAUUUGCAGAUUGAUGUGUUGCUUUCAGACAAACAGCACACUGAAGGGACAUUGCAACAUUGCCACUUGCACUAUAAUGUCGCUAUUGUCAGUUUCAAGGCAAACACUUCUGUAGCAGCAGAUAUUUAUAGUCCAAGGUCAUAUAGGUAUUCCGGCGAAGUGGUAGCGUCGGGCGUGUCUUUGAAUCAGGCAUGUUAAUGGCGACAAGAGAGGAUCACUGACUCGACGGCGUUCGGAGAGAAGAUUUGAUUGCAUUAAUUUGGUUUACUCCAGUUGUGAGAUCACUAAGGUACACUGCUCAAUUUUCUUGUGUUUUACAUGGUGCAAGUGGUGUGUAGUUUUCGUGCCUUCUACAUACUGCAAGCAAUAAUAGUUAUUCUUGUUGUUGUUGUUGUUAGGCUGGGAUUGGAGGACCUCUUGUUAAUUUUGAUGGGAAAUUUGUUGGUACGAACUUCUAUGAUGUGAAAGAAGGAACUCCGUACCUACCACAAUCCAGCAUUCUUGAAGUUCUGGAUUAUUUCGAGAAGAAAAGGUAUUUGGUUAUUUUCCUGGUUUUGUAAUUGCUUGCAUGUGAAAUGUUUGCAUGUUCUGAGAAGAAGUUUCGUCUUAAUAAUCUGUUCUUUCUUUUGAUGUUGGAUAGGAUUGUUGCUGAAGCUGAUGAUGAUGGUUUUAUAAAUAGGUACGUUUUUUGUUUCAGUCAUCUUGGGGGAAAGACAGCUCUUGUUUGAUUUCAUCUCUAGUCUACAUAGCUUUGAACUGAAGACCUUGAUUGUUGUCGUUGACAGGUGGCCUGUGCCCAAGCCAUUUUGGCGCCAUCUCGAUGAGCAUCAUCAGAAUGAGGACAAAGAAGGGCACAGUUGAUGUACAUGUACCCGGGAGCUCUUUGGCCAAGCUGAUCGACCACCAAUAGAUAUCCCAGUCAAGC